UCCGGUUUGACACCGGCAGUCUCGUUAGAGUCCUCGCCAUGACGCGUUAGCAACUAACGACAGGGGUUGCGCUCGUUAAGGGACUUAACCCGACACUUCACAGCACGAGCUGACGACAGCCAUGCAGCACCUGUGCACGUUCCACCCUUGCGGGCGUGGCCCUGCUUUCACAGGGUUAAUCCGUGCAUGUCAAACCCAGGAUAAGGUUCUUCGCGUUGCUUCGAAUUAAGCCACAUGCUCCACCGCUUGUGUGAGCCCCCGUCAAUUCCUUUGAGUUUUAGCCUUGCGACCGUACUCCCCAGGCGGUGUACUAACCACUUUCGCUUCGAUCGAGGAAGUGUCAGAACUCCCACGACCUAGUACACAUCGUUUAGGGCGUGGACUAC
rnacentral:misc_RNA from 1 species